AUUGAACGCUGGCGGCAGGCCUAACACAUGCAAGUCGAACGGUAGCACAGAGAGCUUGCUCUUGGGUGACGAGUGGCGGACGGGUGAGUAAUGUCUGGGAAACUGCCUGAUGGAGGGGGAUAACUACUGGAAACGGUAGCUAAUACCGCAUAACGUCGCAAGACCAAAGAGGGGGACCUUCGGGCCUCUUGCCAUCAGAUGUGCCCAGAUGGGAUUAGCUAGUAGGUGGGGUAACGGCUCACCUAGGGGACGAUCCCUAGCUGGUCUGAGAGGAUGGCCAGCCACACUGGAACUGAGACACGGUCCAGACUCCUACGGGAGGCAGCAGUGGGGAAUAUUGCACAAUGGGCGCAAGCCUGAUGCAGCCAUGCGGCGUGUAUGAAGAAGGCCUUCGGGUUGUAAAGUACUUUCAGCGAGGAGGAAGGCGAUACGGUUAAUAACCGUGUCGAUUGACGUUACUCGCAGAAGAAGCACCGGCUAACUCCGUGCCAGCCGCCGCCGUAA
rnacentral:rRNA from 1 species